rnacentral:rRNA from 1 species
UACAGAGACUGCAAGCGUUAUUCGGAUUCACUGGGCGUAAAGGGUGCGCAGGCGGCCGUGUGUGUCAGGUGUGAAAGCUCCGGGCUCAACUCGGAAAUUGCUUUGCAUACUGGCAGGCUGGAGGGACGCAGAGGUCUGUGGAAUUCCUGGUGUAACGGUGAAAUGUGUUGAUAUCAGGAGGAACACCCAUGGCGAAGGCAGCAGACUGGGCGUUUCCUGACGCUGAGGCGCGAAAGCCAGGGGAGCGAACGGG